UACGUAGGGUGCGAGCGUUGUCCGGAAUUACUGGGCGUAAAGAGCUCGUAGGUGGUUUGUCGCGUUGUUCGUGAAAACUCACAGCUCAACUGUGGGCGUGCGGGCGAUACGGGCAGACUGGAGUACUGCAGGGGAGACUGGAAUUCCUGGUGUAGCGGUGGAAUGCGCAGAUAUCAGGAGGAACACCGGUGGCGAAGGCGGGUCUCUGGGCCGAUACUGACGCUGAGGAGCGAAAGCCAGGGGAGCAAACGGG
rnacentral:rRNA from 1 species